AAUUGAAGCAGAGGACAGUGGCGGACGGGUGAGUAACGCGUGAGGAACCUGCCUUUUCAGAGGGGGACAACAGUUGGAAACAGAUGCUAAUACCGCAUGACACAUAGGUGUCGCAUGGCACUUAUGUCAAAGAUUUAUCGCUGAAAAAUGGCCUCGCGUCUGAUUAGCUAGUUGGUGAGGUAACGGCCCACCAAGGCGACGAUCAGUAGCCGGACUGAGAGGUUGAACGGCCACAUUGGGACUGAGAUACGGCCCAGACUCC
rnacentral:rRNA from 1 species